CCUACGGGAGGCAGCAGUGGGGAAUAUUGCACAAUGGGGGAAACCCUGAUGCAGCGACGCCGCGUGAGCGAAGAAGUAUUUCGGUACGUAAAGCUCUAUCAGCAGGGAAGAAAAAAUGACGGUACCUGACUAAGAAGCACCGGCUAAAUACGUGCCAGCAGCCGCGGUAAUA
rnacentral:rRNA from 1 species